AUGACUCACUAGGUAUCUAUCUAAUACUGAUAUGCAAGCAAUGUAACGAACUCGUCAUAACGAUUAUGAGAAUGAGACAGCAUGAAAGCCAAUGUCAUUUGACUUCGGGUUUAUGUACCCAUCGUGUACGUAUGUCUGACUUGCGAAUCGCAAGUUGCGAUAGCUCUCUUUAAACUCAUUCUGUCGAAAGUCGGUCGGUAAGUGGUUGACCGGUGGUAGUCAAAAAAGUCGAGUGAUAUUCGGGACAUUGGUCAUAGUUGUGUGCUAAAGUGAAAGUGAAAUGCAACAUCAUAACGACUAAAUUACUAUUUAGAAGACCCAAGUGACUCCAUUGAUAUUUGAAAAUGGUCACAGAAGCCUUAAAUUUGUGCUGAUCUUGCAGAGGGGGAUCAACAGGGUGAACACUUGAAACUAGUCGAAAAAGCUGAAAUUUUGCAUACUGGAUCAUGGGAACAUUUUUGACGAUUACGAAAAGUAGUUGUAGCUGGAUCAUCUGACAAAAAUUUAGAAUGGACUUUGACUCGGGCUAGAUUAACACUGCAUUGUGAAGCACAUGGAUUUAAUAUUACGGUAUGACAUCACCGAUACACCGCUACCCUAAUUAUUUUCAAUGUCAAACUGCAAGGGUUUAGAGUUUCAGUCAAGGUCACUCGUUCACAAAAGAACAACAAUAUCGUCCUGUAAAAUAAAGUGCCCAGUACUAAAAAGUUUACAUCCCACAACAGUUUUGUUAUUUGUUAUAUAAUGGGUUUUCAAGCUGGUACUUUAUGGAUUUACAUCGACGAUAAAAAGAUUUAGAAUGGGUGUCAUCGUUCCAGAUGACGCUAUUUUUUAUGUCGUUUAAGUACCAUCAAUUAUUUACGUUCAUAACAACUGAUCCAAUUUUCAUGAAUGCGAGGAUUGGGAUGAUUACUGUGAGUAUAAAGACAGCUAAUAAUAUAUGUGCCUCGUCUUUUAUUCUAGUUAAAAAUGUUCAUGUCUUAAUUAGCUACUACGCUAUGUGAAGCGCAAAUAUUGCUGGGUGGGUAUUACGUAUUACACUAACCUAUUUUGUUCGCGGGGAUAAUAUUUCGACAAAGCCUAUUUCCAACAAGAUUAAACUUUUUAUUCAUGUCAUUCAGAUAACAUUACAAUAGAAUGAGCGAUGUCAAUGGCUGAUUUGUUUUUAGUUAACAGUUUAUUAGGCAAAGUUGCGUAUUUCUGGAGUAGACGUAGAUUUUAUAACUGUUGUUGAUUUGAUUAAUUUAAAAAGUAGUGUACAAAAAACUUAACGCGAAGAAAAUGCGCAACUGCUAACUAAAUUGUAUAUAUUUUGUCAGAUUAGUAUGUUCCGGAUAAAGAAUUUGUUUAUAAACCAACAAUAGAAGUAUUUAAUACAACAUAAAUAA